rnacentral:misc_RNA from 1 species
AUAUAUCAACCCUCUUCUCUUGUUGAGUGGCUUGGAUGUGGGGGGUUCUCUUUGCUGGCCUCUCAAGGUUCAGCUCCCCUGAAAUGCAUUAGCAGAACAACCUGUUUGUUCAUUGGUGUGAUAACUAUCUACGCUAUUGAACCUGAGGCAGUUCAGCUCCCCUAACGGUCCUUGGACAAUUUAUCAUCUUA